GAUUCUUUGCCGCCGGGUAAAGAAUGAAGCGCCAGAACCUUCUAUCGUUAGGCCAUUGAAGAUAGAAGGUCCUGGCGCUGUUUUAU
rnacentral:ncRNA from 1 species